rnacentral:rRNA from 1 species
AACGAACGCUGGCGGCAUGCCUAACACAUGCAAGUCGAACGAGACCUUCGGGUCUAGUGGCGCACGGGUGCGUAACGCGUGGGAACCUGCCCUUAGGUUCGGAAUAACUCCCCGAAAGGGGUGCUAAUACCGGAUAAUGUCUUCGGACCAAAGAUUUAUCGCCUUUGGAUGGGCCCGCGUUGGAUUAGCUAGUUGGUAGGGUAAAAGCCUACCAAGGCGACGAUCCAUAGCUGGUCUGAGAGGAUGAUCAGCCACACUGGGACUGAGACACGGCCCAGACUCCUACGGGAGGCAGCAGUGGGGAAUAUUGGACAAUGGGCGAAAGCCUGAUCCAGCAAUGCCGCGGGAGUGAUGAAGGCCUUAGGGUUGUAAAGCUCUUUUACCCGGGAUGAUAAGGACAGUACCGGGAGAAUAAGCUCCGGCGAACUCCGG